rnacentral:lncRNA from 1 species
ACAUGCAAGCGCCAAGACUGGCUGACAUGAUCCCACAGGGAUCCCAGAAGGCUGCACCAGUGAGUCACGGCUUAACCAGGACCCAGGCUUCGGAACAAACCCAGUCACAAGGAAGGCCGGAAGAGACCUCUGCCCUCUGGAGCCGCCCUCUCAUAAAUUCUAGCGGACUUUCCACAUACAGCACCUUUUCCUUUUCCUAUUUGUUUUUGAAAAGAGGAAAAGCCAAGUAUCUAACAUGAGGGCAGCUGAUACAGCCUCGGCCAUAUUAACUAGAAUGUUCUUUAGGAGCUCCAGCUGGUGAGCUCACAUUCCACUCCAGUCUCACCCUCAUCGCUUCCCCGUCUCCACACCUACUGCCCCAGAAUAAAGUCCUGUCUGAGGCAGGGUUGAAAGGCCCUGGCUCUCUCCUCAGGGCCACCAGGGAUCUCAAACUUUUCCCUGCAGCUACAGGCCUUUAUCUCCAGAAUGAACAUUGAAUUCAUCCUCUUUCCUCCUUCCCACUGCUGGAGCUGGCUCCGGCCCCCACAGCCCACUGCUUCAGCGGCCCCCUUUACUCACACCCAGCAAAACAAUCUGUGGGGCCAGCGCCCACCCCCUCAGCAGCCCCCAAGACCUGGAAGAGCCCCUGAAGACCUCCUGCUCCGGGCCUCUGCCCACCGCUCUCCCUACCUAGGGCGGCCUUCCCUGAGCGUGUUUUAAAGAACCCAGAACUGACCACGUGAACAUCCUGGCAUCCGUGCUCCCAGCCACACCCCCAUGUACGUUCAGAAUGGGCUGGCCUGCAGUCUGGAGGAAAGAGUGCCCCAAGCCUGCGAACUAUCCGGAAAAUUCACCAUGUGUCCACACACCGGGCACAUGCAGCCUCGUGGCUGUGCUUCCUGGAAGUCUCCUCGCAGACCACAAGCCCUGGCACCAACAUGAGCGCCCCGAGCCAAGGGAAGGCAAAGCUAAUUACAUCAACAACCCCUCCAAAAAGAAUCACCAUCCCGAGGGUGCCGGGGUACCCAGCAAACGCAGAGGCGCAAUGCAAAAGCAGAGAAAGUUUCAAAACACAGAGCGACCGAGUUUUGGGAAAUCACCUUGGGGCGGG